rnacentral:rRNA from 1 species
UACGUAGGCAGCGAGCGUUGUUCGGAAUUACUGGGCGUAAAGAGUGUGUAGGCGGUGCUCCCAGUCUGUUGUGAAAUCUCCCGGCUUAACUGGGAGGGUGCAGCGGAAACUAGAGUGCUAGAGGGUGGGAGAGGUAAGCGGAAUUCCUGGUGUAGCGGUGAAAUGCGUAGAUAUCAGGAGGAACACCGGUGGCGAAGGCGGUUCUCUGGGCAUGUCCUGACGCUGAGGAGCGAAAGUGUGGGGAGCGAACAGG